rnacentral:tRNA from 1 species
GCCUCGCUAGCUCAGUUGGCAGCAGCAUCCGACUCUUAAUCGGAGGGUCCGGGGUUCGAUUCCCUGGCGGGGCA